GAAUUUGGACCCAGGUCUCAUUUGAUGCUCAAAACAACCCUGGGAAGUGGGCGCUAUUUAUUUUCAUUUUACUGCUGAGAUGGAGGCAGAUGGAGGGUAAGUCAUUUGCCCAAGGCCUCAAAUAAGUGAGUAAGAAAAUAAAUAAAUAAAUAAGACCCUAAUAAGUGUCUGAAGCUGGAUUUCAACUUGUGACUGACUUCCUGACUCCAAGUUCUAACUACUGCACCAUCUAGCCGCCUCUAAGUGCCUUUGGCUCCAGAACUCAUGCUCUUUCCAUAGUAUCAUGAUGUAUUGCCACAGAUGCCAUUUAGAAGAAAAAAAAAUGAAGCUUUUAAAGACAAGUCUAGAAAAGGAGAAAGAAAAGAAGCUAUGAAAAACUGGAAGGGUUUAGGGAGCUGAACCAAGAAAGGGACUACCAGAAUAUACUUUAAGAACUCUUCUACUCUACAAUUUCUAACAGCCUGCAUUUCUACCAAUUAGAAACAAAUUUGGAUUUACAAAUUCCUCUUUUAAAAAUGCUGGGAGGUAAAGGACAAAUGCACCAAUCACAUAUUACUGUGAACGGUGUAUUCAAUCAGAUUGCUUUCAUCCUAAUACCUAACUAAAAAUAACUGCAGUGAGAAAAGGAGGUGGGUCAUGGUGCAAGAGAGGUCAGCAUAAGGAAUUAAAUUGGAAUUUUUGGAGAGUUUUGAGGAAGCCAUAGACAACAUGUGAAGGUCAGCUGACGACACAGAAACUCAGAAGUGCAUAAAAUACAUUGUCCUAGAGACCUUCAUACUCAUCCCACCCCAUGCUUUGGACUCCACUCAGAAGGGAACUGAUCUUGGAGUUGCUCAUAGAGAAAUACCUCAAGAUUCCACUGAAUCUCCCUUUGCACUAUCUGAAUAACAGCAACAGCAAAACUAAGCCAAGGUUUUUUCUCCUCUAUGCUAAUGAGGUCUUGGGCAGGGCAGGCAUGGGGCCCAUCGUCUCAGAUUUGCUGUUCAGAGAAUUCCCUUAGCUAAAAGGCUAGAUCUCAAGACUGAACUGCCUAGGAAUACCCUUUCUCAGGCUAGAAGGCUGGACCCCUAAAGACUCAGGUUAGGCAACUGCUAAAGAUAGCACUGUCCAAGAAAUCACACCUCCUCUAACUAGGAGUCAGGGAUUCAGGAAUGGCAUUGUCUAUAAAUGUCCUUCCCAGGCUACAUGGGCAAUGUAGGUAGCUCCUAUGUGAUUCUCCAGGAUAAUCCACCACUGCCAAAUCCACUCUCAGGUCUCUGACGUUUGUUUACAGAAAAGAAGGAACGCAAAAGGCAGUUCCUUCUCAGGCUGCUUGACCAAGCAUAUGUAGUGCCUAUGUGAUUCUGUUAGAAGGCAAUCACUGGACUCUUGGGAUGGUGUGUGUGAAAAUCCUCUCCAACCCUGUACUCUAAGGAACCCUGCAAAAGAAAGGUAGAUGAUAAAAGUGAAAGGACAGCAAAGAAGUUCCAUUAGUUCCUUUUUACAGGCCAUCACAAAAGAGGUUGCUACUCCAAAGUCUGUCCUCCCAGGAGUCCAAGCCAACAAAUUCACUGUGGGGGCAGUCCCAGUCAUUGAAACCUAUUACUGAGGAGGCAUCAAGGAAUAGCUCAACCAACUAAUUCAUCUUGGGGCACUCAUGAGACUUGAUGAGAUUUUCCCCUCUCUUUGCCUUUCCAAGAGGCCAAUGGUAUGUCCAAGGUCAAUAGGAAAAAAGAAAUAACCUCUCUGUAGGCUUAUCAAAUUGACUGGGGAAGUUCCCUAAGCAAAUCCUUACACAUAUUUUAAACACAUUCAAGGCCAAUCUUUGCAUUCGAAACAAAUAAAACAAUGGUUAACCUAGAAUUGUAACCUAGGAAAAAUAAAAAAAGUAAUAACAGCACCUAACUACCAUCACUGAAUUGCCACCAGUCAAUGGACUACAAUCCAGAGCAGAGAAAGACCUAGCUAAUAUGAUUGGUAGGCAAUCUUUGGAAAAUUGUUGAGAAUUGAAAAGAUACAAUAGUACAGAAGAUGGCCAAAUGCUAUCCAAAUACGGAAAGAGAGCAGAUCCUUCAACUGCAAACUGUUCAACUUGACCUUGGAUGAGUCACUUUCGCCCCCUUUAGGGUUCAGAUUUCUCAUCUAUAAAAUAAGAUUGGAGGAAUUCUCUGUGCUUGUUUCCUCAUCUGUAAAAUGAAUAGGGUGGACUCCAGGGCCUCUAACAUUACUUCGAGCUCUCAAUUAAGGAUCCAACGAUUCUUGAUUACCUCUAAAGUCCAUUUCAGCUCAAAAGCCAUGAUUCUAUGAUUCAAGGAAAAAUUUUAAAAUUUAUUAUGGAGUUUGUGAAUGUUUAUUAGUCAACAAAUAUAUGUGUUAAGACACUGGAGAUACAAAUAUAAAAUUGAGAGACCCUGCUCUCAAGGAGCUUACAUUCUAAUAGGGGGAUGAAACACAUAAAGAAGGAUAAACCAGGAAAGGGAAAUUUGUAGAGGCACUCACAAGGAUUGUGAAUUAAGUCACAGGGCAACAUGAGUUUUCCAGUAACAAUGCUAUUAUUGGUUCAGUUAUUGCUCCCAAAACAAAGGCAAGAAAUGAAAGGAGGGAGGGAGGAGGGGGCAAAUAGCAAGAGGCCUACAUUCCACACACCCAGGAAUUCUGUUGGAUGACUAGAAUGGGAUAUAAAGCUGGCUAAACAUACUGUUUCAUCAAGAACAUUAUACCGCAUGACCCUUAUUUUUUUUUGUUGUUGUUGACAGGAUUAGAUCACGAGGAAUUACUUUUGAUUUAGUAAAUCAGUUUUAGCAAAAUACUUGGAUUCUUUUGAACAAGAAAAAAAGAUUUAGUCUAAAUCAGUAGUAUUGAACUCAAACAGAAAUGGAUCCCCUCAGGCCACAUACUGACUUAAAAAAUAGCAAGUUAACAUUAACUGUGUUGUAUUGCAUUUCUAUUUGUUAGACAUUUCCAAAUUACAUUUUAAUGUGGUUUCCUGGGAAUUUUGUGGGCUGUUUGCUUGGGAAUUUGACAUCUCUGGACUUUAGAUAAUGGAGAUACACUUCUGAACUUGUUGAAUUAACAGAUCCAAAGAGUAGUCAUUAACAAAUGGGCAUCAACCUGGAGAAAAUUCUCUAAUGGAAUGCCCCAAGGAUCUGUCCUUGCUGUUCAACCUAUUUUUUUUUUUGGUCAAUGACUUCAACACAGGACCGAAUGGCAUAUUUUUUAAAUGUAUGCAGAUGACAUAAAACUGGAGGGAUUACUAACAUUCUAACUUCAGAAUCCAAAAAUUUCUCAGUAAGUUAGAACAAUGUGGCAAAUUUAUUAAGUGGAAUUAAAUACAUAUGUAAAGAUAUCUAUUGUGAAUACUACCAUUUCUGAAAGUUUAAAGAGCACAGAAAACAUUUUUUAGCUAAUUAAAUAUAUGGUCUCCUAAACAAAAUGACAUGAUAGCAAAUUUUUUUUUAGGCAGUUGGGGUUAAGUGACUUACCCAGGUUCUCACAGCUAAUGUGUCUG